rnacentral:rRNA from 1 species
AGUGGGGAAUCUUAGACAAUGGGCGCAAGCCUGAUCUAGCCAUGCCGCGUGAGUGACGAAGGCCUUAGGGUCGUAAAGCUCUUUCGCCAGGGAUGAUAAUGACAGUACCUGGUAAAGAAACCCCGGCUAACUCCGUGCCAGCAGCCGCGGUAAUACGGAGGGGGUUAGCGUUGUUCGGAAUUACUGGGCGUAAAGCGCGCGUAGGCGGAUCGGAAAGUUGGGGGUGAAAUCCCGGGGCUCAACCCCGGAACUGCCUCCAAAACUUCCAGUCUGGAGUUCGAGAGAGGUGAGUGGAAUUCCGAGUGUAGAGGUGAAAUUCGUAGAUAUUCGGAGGAACACCAGUGGCGAAGGCGGCUCACUGGCUCGAUACUGACGCUGAGGUGCGAAAGUGUGGGGAGCAAACAGGAUUAGAUACCCUGGUAGUCCACACCGUAAACGAUGAAUGCCAGUCGUCGGCAAGCAUGCUUGUCGGUGACACACCUAACGGAUUAAGCAUUCCGCCUGGGGAGUACGGCCGCAAGGUUA